rnacentral:rRNA from 1 species
CCUACGGGAGGCAGCAGUAGGGAAUCUUCCACAAUGGGCGCAAGCCUGAUGGAGCAACACCGCGUGAGUGAAGAAGGGUUUCGGCUCGUAAAGCUCUGUUGUUAGAGAAGAACGUGCGUGAGAGCAACUGUUCACGCAGUGACGGUAUCUAACCAGAAAGUCACGGCUAACUACGUGCCAGCAGCCGCGGUAAU